GCCACCAAUCUUUUUAGGUGUGAUCGGAUCACCUUAAGUUGAUCAUUUUAAUAAAAGUUAAGAUUUACUAAAACGAUAAUUUUUGGUCUACGAAAAUCAGAAAAUGAGUUCGGGAGUCGGUUACUCAUGAGGAAGGAUUAGCACCCUCGAUACGCCCAAAAUUGGUACCUAGUUGAUUAAUUAGUGUCUUAGUGUCGAAAAUUUGAAAACUUGAAAGAAUUUAAAAUACGAUCCCUCUUUGUAAAGAAAAUGCUCAAAUGUUAAGGACCUUCUCGUCUCACAAUAUAAAAUGUCACAUCCAGUAAGUUAGGACACGACAUCUUGAAUUUUCGAGAGCGAGCUUGCCUUUUAUAUAAAAAUUCGUGUAUUUCAAAAGGUUAUUCAGUUAGUUAAGGUGAACGAGGAAAAUCGAAACCCAGUAAGUUAGGGCACGUUUCCUCGAAUUCCCAAACACCGAAUAUUGCCUUUACUUGCAAAAAUAUUAUUUCGAGGUAACAAAAUGCCAUACCCAGUAAGUUAGGGCACAACACCUCGUAUCUCCGAGAAUAAGCAUUUUUCAAAACUCAUGUCGCGAUUUAAAAGAGUAUUCCGUUAUUUAGGUUAAAGGAGAAAAAUCGAAACCCAAUAAGUUAGGGCACGAUUGUCUCGAAUUACCAAAUACGGAAUAUUACUUUUAUGAAAAAAUUAUUAUUGGGUUGGAUAUAAUGAUAAUAAGAAUAAUAUUAAAGUAAAGUAAACAAUAAUACUAUAUAUAAAUAUAUAUAUGUAUAUAAUAGAAAUACACACUACUAUAUAAUAAUAAUAAUAAAUAUAGAAAUACAAAAAGCAAAUAUAAUAAAAAUAUUAAAUUAAAGUAAUAAAAAACAAUACUAUAUAUAAAUAUAUAUAUGUAUAUACAUAAAAAUAUACACUAAUAUAUAAUAAUAAUAGUAAUAGCAAAAAUAAUGAAAAUAUGAGUAAUAUUAAUAAUAUAUUAGAAUACAAAAGUAAAGUAAUAACAAUAGGGGUGAUAAUAAUAAUAAUAAUAAUACAAACAAUAAUACAUAUAUAUAAUAAUAGUAGUAGUUAGAAAUAAAAAAUAAUAGAAGUAACAAUAAUGAUAGUAAUAAUAUAAAUAAAUAUGGAGAGGGCAUAUAUAAUAUAAUAAUAUAAAUAAUAAUAUAUACAUGAGAAAUAAUAAUAAUAAUAUAAAUAAUAGUAAAAAUAAUAAAAUAAUAAAACAAAGCUCUCAACUCUCAUUCUCCCUCUUUUCUAAAUCCGGCCGUUGGUCCGGCUUUGCUUCGGUCAUGGAACCCCACGGGCUGCCAUCAGCGCCACCGUACGCGGCGGCCGAACCUCAAAAAAAAAACUUUUUUCGGUAAUGAAAAUAUGGGUAAGCUUCUUACUUUUAUUUUUACUUUCGUAUAAAAAAAACAAAAUAAAAUUGAAAGGAAAAAAAUAAACAAACAAAGAACUAAAUAUGAGAAUAGACAAAAGAAACCUCUUUUGCUUUGAUCUUUGAUUAAUCUCCAAAAACUAGCCUUUCCAAGAAACAAAAACAACCUUCUUUCCAGAAAAACAAAAAAACACCUCCAAAAAAGAAAAAAACCUCCUCCAAAACAAAGAACAAUCCUCCUCCAAAAAACCAAAAAUCCACCCCCUAAAAACAAAGUCUUGAAUGGCUUUUAUAGCCAAAUUUUACAAGUGGAGUGGUUGGGGUGGUUUAGGUGGCCAAGGGUGGUGGAGUUGGUGGCCAAGGUGGGUGGCCAACAAAGGUGGUGGAGUAGGUGGCCAAGGUUUUUAUUUAUUUAUUUAUUUAUUUUGUGCUUGGGUUGGGAUUAGGUUGGGCCAAAAUUGGGUUUGGGCUUGUAACUGGAUAAUAGGCUAGGUUUAAUUCAGGUUUGGUUUUAUUGGGUCCUAGGCAAAAUUUGGGUCUUACAGCUGCCCCUCUUUGCUCAUUAUCGUGUAACGAGAAUGGAGCAAAGACUACAAAAAGACCAAUUUUGCCAGGGCUCGCCGAGUCUUGAGUUCUUGAUCUUCUUUAAAAUGGCCUCUUGACGGCUUCAAUCUGCUUCACUGCAACUCAGGAAGGCGAUAUCCGCUAUCUUUGAUCUGUUUCACUGUAAGCACAGGAAUGUCAGAUUUGCUAUCUUCGAUCCGUUCCCUAUAAGCACAGGGAUGCCAAAUCUGCUGUUUUCAACUUGUUCCCUAUAAGCACAGGGAUGUCAUGCUGAAAUCUUCGAUCUACUUCACUGUAAGCACAGGAAUGUCAGAUCUGCUAUCUUCGAUCCGUUCCCUAUAAGCACAGGGAUGCCAAAUCUGUUGUUUUCAACUUGUUCCCUAUAAGUACAGGGAUGCCAAAUCUGAUGUUUUCAACUUGUUCCCUAUAAGAACAGGGAUGCCAUGCUGAAAUCUUUGAUCUGCUUCACUAUAAGCACAGGAAUGUCAGAUCUGCUAUCUUCGAUCCGUUCCCUAUAAGCACAGGGAUGCCAAAUCUGAUGUUUUCAACUUGUUCCCUAUAAGCACAGGGAUACCAUGAUAAAAUCUUCAACUUGUUCCCUAUAAGCACAGGGAUGCCAUGCUGAAAUCUUGGAUCUGCUUCACUGUAAGCACAGGAAUGUCAGAUCUGCUAUCUUCGGUCUGCUCCUCUGCAACUUCAGGGAGAUAAGACUUGUUUUGAUCUUCUUCCACUAAAACUUCAAGGAGAUCUGCUGUGGCUUUUAGCCUCUCCAAUGCCAUUUCUGGAAGAAGAGGUUUGCUGAAACUUCAAGGAGAUCUGUUGUGGCUUUUAGCCGCUCCAACGCCAUUUCAGGAAUAAAAGAUCCUCUGAAACUUCAAGGAGAUCUGCUGUGGUUUUUAGCCGCUCCAAUGCCAUUUCAGGGAAAAAGAAAUUUGUAAUUUCCAGCCUAUUACCCUACUACUUAGGGGUUUAAGGCCCAUCAUCUUCGAUCUAUUUCCCAACUGCUUAAGGGGUUAAGAUCUGUAAAUUCAACCUGUUACCCUACUGGUUAGGGGGUUAAGAUUUGUAAAUCUUCAGCCUAUUACCCUACUGCUUAGGGGUUUAAGGUUUGUAAAUUCGGCUUGUUACCCUACUGCUUAGGGGGUUAAAGCCCAUCAUUUUUUAUCUGUUUCCCUACUGCUUAGGGGGUUAAGAUCUGUAAAUCUUCAGCCAGUUACCCUACUGCUUAGGGGUUUAAGGCUUGUAAAUUCGGCUUGUUACCCUACUGCUUAGCGGGUUAAAGCCCAUCAUCUUUGAUCUGUUUCCCUACUGCUUAAGGGGUUAAGAUCUGUAAAUCUUCAGCCUGUUACCCUACUACUUAGGGCGUUAAGGCUUGUAAAUUUGGAUUGUUACCCUACUGCUUAGGGGGUUAAAGCCCAUCAUCUUCGAUCUGUUUGCCUACUGCUUAGGGGGUUAAGAUCUUCAUCUUCGAUCUGUUUCCCUACUGCUUAGGGAGAUAAGAUCUGCAAUUCGGUCUGUUACCCUACCGAUUAGGGGUUUAAGACCCUUCAUCUUCGAUCUGUUUCCCUACUGCUUAGGGGGUUAAGAUCUGUAAAUCUUCAGCCUGUUACCCUACUGCUUAGGGGGUUAAGGCUUGUAAAUUUAGCUUGUUACCCUACUGCUUAGGGGGUUAAAGCCCAUCAUCUUCGAUCUGUUUCCCUACUGCUUAGGGGGUUAAGAUCUUCAUCUUCGAUCUGUUUCCCUACUGCUUAGGGAGAUAAGAUCUACAAUUCGAUCUGUUACCCUACCGAUUAGGGGUUUAAGACCCUUCGUCUUCGAUCUGUUUCCCUACUACUUAGGGGAUUAAGAUCUGUAAAUCUUCAGCCUGUUACCCUAUUGCUUAGGGGCUUAAGGCUUGUGAAUUCACUAAUUCUAGGGACAUCACCUGUAGAAUCAGUUCCAUAUAUCUAUGCUUAUGUCAAAUGAUUAGGAUGCUAUGAUCGAAAUGAAUCAAAUGCUCCUAACUAGAUGUGUUAUGAAUGUGUCAAAUAAUUAGGAUGCUAUGAUUGAAAUGAAUCAAAUGCUCUUAACUAGAUGUGUUAUUAUAUGAAUGUAGAAAUGUCAUGAGCCCUUUUUAAAAAGGCUUAAGGUAUCAUCGUGCGUUGUUCAUUAGGACAUUAUCGCUGACGUAUUACGCUGGCAUCUUGUUCGGCUGGUAUUCUUGACAGAAACGUCAAAGAAACAAUCACAUUUUGCUCAGAAAGUUUGCCCCACUAUAAUUUUAGAGUCCCUUCCACUGUACCUUUUAGGACAUAAAGUUUGUGCCUCCUACUGCAAUUUCAGAGGAAUAACAUUUGGUUUCUUCCAUCCAUUCCGCUGCAACUCAAAGGCAUAGUAUUUGUAUCAUCUUCAAUCAGUUUGAUCUGUUACACUAUUCCUUGGGUGUAAUGACCAGAUGUUCAUGAAUGCAAAGUAUCAUUUCUUUUCUCGAGAAUGACCCUCUUUUACACUUAGGUUGACAUCACUCGUCAUUUGUCGAGGUUGUAUCACUGAUGAAAUGUCUUGUCUUUUGGUUCAACCAAUAAAGAGUCCAAAGAGAUAAUAUUUCCAACCCUUAAGCUUGGUGAGUUCUAAACAAUAGUCCUGUUUCAGGUUUUUGUAUUAUUUAGAAACUUCUAGAGUAAUAUGCAAAACUUCUUUUGUGAAAGUGUUAUUAGUCCAUUAAUCAUUAUUUCAAUGCAAAAUGCUUGAAAAAGAUCAAAACAAUGAACAAGAAGGAAAUUGAUUAUGAGCAUAGCUCGAAAUGGAUAAAUUAAUCAAAGAUUGCAAAUGCAAUAAGAAUGAAAUCAACUCAAAACGAAUGAUUUAAUCAAAGAUAGCAAUGCAAUAAGAAGAAAAUUUAUUUGGACAUAUCUUGAGAAGAAUCAAAGAUAACAAAUUCAAAAUGGGCAAAAUGGAAGCUAGAUGCCCCAGAUAUCGUAGCCUGAGCUUUUCUGUACCAACUUCUUGAGGACCUUUCUGAGUUUAAUAUGUGUUUAGGGGAUCCGGAGUACUUUUUUGAUGCCCCAAGACGUAGCAUACUUCUUCAUUGUUAAUUCAAGCAUAGCAAGACUAAUGUAUGCCCCACUUUGAUCCAAAUUUGAGCUACCAUUUUCGGGUUUUCAACUCGAAUCCCUUUUAGUCUCAAGGCUCCAUUUGCGGGGUUUCGCCCUGGCCUCUCUUUUUUCCGCUUCUUUUUUUUUUAGAAUUUUUUUGUUUUUUUUUUGUGUUUUCGUGUUUUUGUGUUUUUUUUUGCCUUUGCCAUAUAACUCCUAAUCUUUAAACAGACUGUGACCUUUUGACAUUGUACAGCUGUGUUAGACAUGAUUUUCUGGCACUAUUUAUUGGCACCCCUUUUUUUGAAAUUUGAUGACUGUCGACCUAGUGACAUUGGCAUAUGAAACAACUUUUAUCCUUUUCUCGGGGUAAACGAUGACCCCAAAGGCAAAUCGGUAUUGGUUAGAAGCUUUCAAAGAGAUCGGCCCAUAACCUCCAUGCCCCACAUGAAGGGGCACAUGAAUUUUCUCUCUAUAAAUUUGGCAUUUACAGCAUACUGAUGCAAUCCCUUUCUAUGGUGGGCCAGCAGAACCCAAAUCUCAUGAUUAGCUUGGCCAUCGUAAAACCAUUAGCAUAUGUCAUUCCAAACCUUGCAACAUCCUCAUGUCUUAGUAGCCAGGCGUAUCUUGAUAUGAUCAUGCAAAAAAUCUUUAAAUUCUAGGAAGUGACUCAAUGACGUCUCGCUUUGCCUUUGUGGUAAUGCAGACUCCGAUGUUUGCAUCUUUCUCUUGUCAUAGGCCUACUGCCUACUGUCUUUUUGUAAGAGAGGAUCUGUUUUCAUCUUACUCUACCAUCCUUAACAAAUUAGAGAGUAGUCUACAUCUCUAUCAUCUUCAGAGUGUUGAGAUCCCUUUAGGCCCAUAUUUCGCUCAAAAGGAGACUCGGAGUCAAUGACAGCGUUACUGACAUCAUUGAUAUCUGGGGACCCACUGAAGGCAUAUUCCAAAGAAAUAAAUGAUUCUAAGGAUGAUUAUUUGUAUGGUAUGAUCAUGAAUGAAGAAUAAAUGAAUAUUUGAAAUAAAUUCCAAAGAACAAAAGAAUCUAAGAACAAUUAUUUGUACCGUAUGAGAUGAAAUCAAAGAAUAUUUGCUCAAAAAGAUGCAUUUUAUUGAAAUAAAGACUUAGGAUACAAGCCUAUUUCACAAAAGGGGUUUAAUUGCUUCCAGGCUUAAAGCAACAAGCGUGUUUUGAAUAUUACUCUAGAUUAGCUCUAAAAACUACAAGAGGUUCCUCUACAGACUAAUCAUUCAAAACAUUUCCAGGUUUGUAAGGACGAAUGCCUCACAAGUUUCUCUAUUCAGGAUCCGAUGCUACUAAUCCUCUUCUUUAUUUUUCAUCUUUGACAGAGUCCUUUAAUCAUUUUCUCUUAUCAUCGUGAUUUGGUAAUGGACUCUUUGUACCAGGGGUGUCAUCAAACUUCACAAUCCCCAUCUCGAGGAGUCUUUCAACCGUCUUCUUGAAGGCAGUACAGUUUUCUAUUGAAUGCCCCGAUACUCCCGCAUGAUAAUCACAUUGAGCGUUUGAAUCAUACCAUUUGGGGUAUGGGGGUUGCAAUGGCUUUAUAUAAUAUGGGGACACCAUGUGUGAAUCAAAUAAACUUUGAUAUAACUCCUUAUAUGACAUUGGGAUUGGCGUAAAUUGGAGCUUUUCAAAAUUUUGCCUUACCCUUGAUUCCUGCUUUGUCAAACCUUGUUGCCCCCUCGUAGUCACCUUUGGUUGAUUGACAGUUAUUGACCUUGAGUGAUCUCUAUUGUAUAAGCUCAUACUGUUCACUUCAUUCUCCUUUUUCUUUGGAACUGACCUCUUGGUAGUUUCUCCAACUUCAAUCUUGCCACCUCUUAUGGCAUUCUCAAUCAUCUCGCAUGCCAUUACCAUAUCAGAAAAACUUUUGGUAGUAUUCCCAAUCAUAUGGGUGAUGAAUGGGGCCUUCAAAGUAUUAAUGAAGAGCAUGGUCGUUUCCUUCUCCAAAAGAGGUGGCUGGACUUGCAUCGCUAUUUCCCUCCACCGUUGUGCAUAUUGCCUGAAACUCUCACUCGGCUUCUUUUUCAUGUUUUGUAGUGUGAUCCUAUCUGGCGUCAUAUCAGUCACAUGGUUAUACUGUUGCAUGAAAGCCUGUGCAAGAUCUCUCCAUGAACCGAUCUUUGCACGGCUCAACUGAUUGUACCACCUAGCCGAUGCUCUCAUUAGGCUGUCCUAAAAAUAAUGGAUCAAUAGUUGAUCGUUGUUCACAUAGCCAGUCAUCCUUCUACAAAAUAUUGUUUUGUGCGCCUCUCGGCAAGUAGUCCCGUUGUACUUUUCAAACUCUAGCAUCUUAAAUUUAUGAGGAAGCACCAAAUCUGGAACCAAACUUAAGUCUUUGGCAUCGAUCCCCUAAUGAUUGCCAGCGCCUUCUAAAACCCUAAACUUCUCCUCUAACCACCUGCAAUGAUCUUUCAAUUGUUUCGAGGAUUCAGUGGCCAUUCUUUCCUUCUCUAUUAAAUCCAGAUCAGGAGUAAUAGGGUUGACCGAGCUAUCACCCAAAUUAUUUCCCAACCCAGAUGGGAAAUUUAUGGGGAUUCCAGCAUCCACUGGCCCAUGUUGAGGCCUCACUGUGACAGAUGGCCUUCUAGGAGGUGCCUCAGUUUGCAGAGGCACAUGAGGUGGGGUAAAACCCGGAGGGUAAGUAGGAUCUUCAUUAUCUUCUCCCGCAUUGAUCAAAGGGCUUUUCCCCUUUUCUAAUCCGCCAGCCAAUAGACGAGUUAAUUAAUCCAUCAUGCUUUUCUGGGACUCUAACAUAUGGUCCCUCAUAUCUUGCUGUAUCUUAGCCAGUUACUCUUGCAUCUGCUCUUGUAAUUGUUCUUGCAUCUCCCUUUGCAUUUGUUCUAUCCUUUCUAAUCUCUGGUCCAUUGCUUUGGUUUUACGGUGGGUAUAGUGGCUGUGUUUGGUUGCUUGAUUCUCGUUGGUUUCCAGAUUAAUUGAAAUAAUUUUGUUUAAUCAGGGUUCUUUAGUGAAAGUUUAAUGCAAAUGUUGCAAUGUAAUGCAAAUGUAUGGAAUGAAUGCAAAAGAAAGGAAGAUGUUGAUCUUGAAUUCAAUUCUAUUAGAAUAACUUUUCUAGAAAACAUAUUUCUUUACAUGAAAAUAGAUUACAUAUGCGGUAUUACCCUUCAUAUCCCAAGUAAACGCUGAUCUUUUCUUCAUGGUCGAAUCUUGUAAAUUCUCUAAAAGAUGCCUUUACUAGUUCCUUGUUGCUUAAUCUGAGCCUCGAUCUCUUGCUCACUUAUCUCUAUGAUACUCAUCAAAAGUGUCGGCUCUUGAAUAAUCUUUGUUGGCAAUUAAAUCAAGUCAUGUAUUCCUUCGUGGACUUCCAGCUUUCUCUCGUCAUGGCUUUGUUGGCUUGAAUCUCUGGCAAUUACAUCAUGUAUUCCUCCGUGAACUACCAGCUUUCUCUCAUCGUGUUUACUUGGACUAUAUUCAGGCGAUCACACUAUAAUCUACUUUAUCAAGAAAUUCGUUUCCUUAUGACAAACUAUUCUAUUUAGGAAUUGAAUUUCGAAUUAACACAUUCUUUUCUUUGAUGUAAUGUAAUGCAAAUGCAUGAACACAAAAAAAAAGGAAGGCAUUGAUUCUAAAUUUAAUUUCAUUAGAACAACUUUUCUAGAAAGCAAAUUCUUUUACAUAAAACGGACUACAUAUACGGCUUUUCUCUUGUAUUCCAAGUGAAGACACCUAUCUUCCUCUUCAUAUCCGGAUCUUGUGGUCGAGUCUGAUGAAUUCUCCAAGAGAUGUCUAUAUUAACUCCUUUUUUGCUCGAUCCAGGCUGCGACUCGUUGCUCACUUAUUACUGUGAUACUUGUCAGCUCCUUUAAGAAGGUCAAGAUGUGAUGGCUCUCGAAUAAUCUUUGUCAGUUUCUGUCUUCAGGCAAUGAAGCGAAGUCUUGUAUUUCUUCACAGGCUAUCAGUCUUCUUUCAUGUGUUCACUUGUAUCAUAUUUAGACAACCGUAUUAUAAUCCACUUUAUCAAAAAAUUCUUUUUCUUAUGACAAACUGUUCUAUUUAGCAAUCAAAUAUGAAUCAACACCUCCUUCCUAGGAUGAUGUAAUGUAAUGCAAUUAUAAACAAAACAAAAAUAAAACACGUUAGUGCAGGAUAAAUAAAUAACAAAUAAAGCAAUUCGGGUGACCACUAGGGGUUCGGAGUGGCUCUACCUAGGGUGGGCUCCUAGGUCUCUCUAUAUGUGGUUUGGUUCUAGAGUAAGGGUACCUGAACCAGCAGAUUCCUCGAUCCUCACCCAUUAUAGGCUCAUUUGAAUUGAGUUCAAUUCAGGAGAAUACAUUUCCCUAUGGCUACACGGAGAUGAAAAUCUCACGAAACCAUAGGUACGGAUGUAUUCCGAAAGUGAUCCACUAUCCUGCACGGAGGUGAAAACCUCACGAAGGCGUAGUUUCUCACUUCCACUUAAGGGUGUGGCCACAACGGUCAUGCAAUGCAAUGCGAGAAGAUAUAUGCAUAAAAACUUGAAACGAUUAAAGAAAAUAGGAAUAAAAUGAUGAAAACAGUACGAAAAACGGGUGAAACGCAAUGAAGUGAUCGUAUAUCAAAACCAAAUUCUCAAUUUUCGAAAAAAGACAAAAGUUAAUCAACUUGUGGCUUGACUCUCUUAUAAAACUCCCCAGUGGAGUCGCCAAGCUGUCGUAACCAUUUUUUUGAAAAAACGGGUAUCGACUUGGAGAAAAAAAACGAAAACAGGAGUCGCCACCAAUCUUUUUAGGUGUGAUCAGAUCACCUUAAGUUAAUCAUUUUAAUAAAAGUUAAGAUUUACUAAAAUGAUAAUUUUUGGUCUACGAAAAUCAGAAAAUGAGUUCGGGAGUCGGUUACUCCUGAGGAAGGAUUAGCACACUCAAUACGCCCAAAAUUGGUACCUAGUUGAUUAAUUAGUGUCUUAGUGUCGAAAAUUUGAAAACUUGAAAGAAUUUAAAAUACGAUCCCUCUUUGUAAAGAAAAUGCUCAAAUGUUAAGGACCUUCUCGUCUCACAAUAUAAAAUGUCACAUCCAGUAAGUUAGGACACGACAUCUUGAAUUUUCGAGAGCGAGCUUGCCUUUUAUAUAAAAAUUCGUAUAUUUCAAAAGGUUCUUCAGUUAGUUAAGGUGAACGAGGAAAAUCGAAACCCAGUAAGUUAG
rnacentral:lncRNA from 1 species